CCUACGGGUGGCAGCAGUGAGGAAUAUUGGUCAAUGGGCGCUAGCCUGACCCAGCCAAGUAGCGUGAAGGAUGACUGCCCUAUGGGUUGUAAACUUCUUUUAUAUGGGCAUAAAGUGCAGUAUGUAUACUGCUUUGCAUGUACCUUAUGAAUAAGGAUCGGCUAACUCCGUGCCAGCAGCCGCGGUAAUAGGUGGGAUCCGAGCGUUAUCCGGAUUUAUUGGGUUUAAAGGGGGCGUAGGCGGUGCGUUAAGUCCUCGGUAAAAUUGCGGGGCUCAACCCCGGCGAGCCGUUGAAACUGGCAGACUUGAGUGGGCGAGAGGUACGCGGAAUGCCCGGUGUAGCGGUGAAAUGCAUAGAUAUCGCGCAGAACUCCGAUUGCGAAGGCAGCGUACUGGCGCCAGACUGACGCUGAGGCACGAAAGCGUGGGGAUCGAACAGGAUUAGAUACCCCAGUAGUC
rnacentral:rRNA from 1 species